rnacentral:rRNA from 1 species
AAAAGCUCAAAUUUAAAAUCUGGCAGUGUAUUCUGUCCGAGUUGUAGUCUAGAGAAGCAUCAUCCUGUGCUGGACCAUGUACAAGUCUCUUGGAACAGAGCGUCAUAGAGGGUGAGAAUCCCGUCCUUGACAUGGCCUUCCCAGUGCUUUGUGUUGAGCUCUCAACGAGUCGAGUUGUUUGGGAAUGCAGCUCAAAAUGGGUGGUAAAUUCCAUCUAAAGCUAAAUAUUGGCGAGAGACCGAUAGCGAACAAGUACCGUGAGGGAAAGAUGAAAAGCACUUUGGAGAGAGAGUUAAACAGUACGUGAAAUUGUUGAAAUGGAAACGCUUGAAGUCAGUCGCGUUCUCUGGGAUUCAGCCUUGCUUCUGCUUGGUGCAUUUCCUAGUCUACGGGCCAGCAUGAAUUUUGACUGGUGGAAAAGGACUUGGGGAAUGUAGCACCUUUGGGUGUGUUAUAGCCCCUUGCCAUAUACACUGGUUGGGAUUGAGGACUUCAGUGCACACUUUGGUUGUGCUUUGAUGCUGGCGUAAUGGCUUUAAACGACCCGUCUUGAAACACGGACCAAGGAGUCUAACAUGUCUGCAAGUGUUUGGGUGCAAAACCCGAGUGCAUAAUGAAAGUGAUAGUUGGGAACCUCUCUGAGGGGCACCGACGCCCGGACCAGACCUUCUGUGACGGAUCCGAGGUAGAGCAUAUAUGUUGGGACCCGAAAGAUGGUGAACUAUGCCUGCAUAGGGUGAAGCCAGAGGAAACUCUGGUGGAGGCUCGUAGCGAUUCUGACGUGCAAAUCGAUCGUCAAUGUGGGUAUAGGGGCGAAAGACUAAUC